rnacentral:rRNA from 1 species
AUGUCGCCAGAAAUCCUUGCGCAGGUCGUCGGGAAGGACUCCACCUUCGAGCUCUGGACGACGGUGACAAACCUCUUCGCCUCACAGUCACAAUCCCGGAUUACCAAUCUGAGGAUCGCCAUCACCAACACCAAGAAGGGCAGCAUGUCAAGCUCGGCGUACAUGGCGAAGAUGAAAAGCCUCGGGGAUGAACUAGCUGCUGCCGGUCGUCCCGUCUCUGAUCCGGAGAUGGUGGACUACAUCUUGGCCGGGCUGGACCGCGACUACGACUCCGUGGUGGCGGCGAUCGGCGCUGUCAAGAAUACCAUCACCGCUGAUGAUCUCUUUGCCCAAAUCUCUGCCUUUGAUCAAAGGAUGGAGAUGCUAGGUGAUUCUUCUUCAGGCGGAUUUCACACAUCUGCCAACGCGGUCUACAGAGGCCACGGACAGUCCCGCGGCAGAUCCCGUGGGCGAGGAGGACGAGGGCGUGGCCGUGGUGACCGCGGUGACGGCCAACCCCCUUCCUCCAACGGUGGCAAUGGCUUCAGAGGGCGUCCUCGACAACAGCAACAGCAACACCAGGUGCGUGACCAGCAGCAUGAUUAUCCUGAGUGCCAAAUAUGCUACAAGCAUCAUCCAGGAGGUGCACGGGUCUGCUGGUGGCGCUAUGAGGAGAACGAGUUCUCCAGAAGAAAAGGAGGUACAUCACAGGUGAACUUGACAAGUUGA